GACGAACGCUGGCGGCGUGCUUAACACAUGCAAGUCGAACGGGCCCGCCCCUGUUUUUGGGGGUGGGUUGAGUGGCGACCGGGUGAGUAUCACGUGAGUAACCUGCCCCCUGCUCCUGGAUAACUGCUUGAAAGGGCGGCUAAUACGGGGUGUGCCGGCUGGUCCGCAUGGGCCUGGUCGGGAUAGUUUCAUCUUCGGGUGUUUCGGUGGGGGAUGGGCUCGCGGCCUAUCAGCUUGUUGGUGGGGUGAUGGCCCACCAAGGCGGUGACGGGUAGCCGGCCUGAGAGGGUGGGCGGCCACACGGGGACUGGGACACGGCCCAGACUCGUGCGGGAGGCAGCAGUGGGGGGUAUUGCACAAUGGGCGGAAGCCUGAUGCAGCGACGUCGCGUGAGGGAUGGAGGCCUUCGGGUUGUGAACCUCUUUCUCCGGUGGUGAAGGCCCUGUCCGUUGCGGCGGGGUUGACGGUAGCCGGGUAUGAAGCGCCGGCUAACUACGUG
rnacentral:rRNA from 1 species